GGGAGCUGAAGAACAGAAGAGUCCAAGAAGACAGGCGGGCUGUUUUCCUGUGCUCUCAGAAAUCCUAGCCAUGAUCCAGGGAAUACUAGUAAUAUUGAAGAAAGUUACUGAUACAUCAGGCAACUCUGCCAGUCAUGAAUUUCUCCUAAGACCCAGGUUUCCUGUUAUUUAUAGCCCAAGGCAACAGAACUAAAAGAGAGGUUACUUGUCAGUAGCCCGACGCAAGAUAUGAAAGAAAACUGCUGCAAAUAAACGUGUUUAAUAUAUUCCUGACUGAAAGUUUUAUGAUGCAUAGCACAACCUUUAAAGCAAUGUUACAGUUUUUUCUCCC